GGCUGCUAUGUGGGAUGUCGUUUACUUUUUCAUUGCAGUCCAUAUGAUUCUUGUACUUAACCCCUUCAGGAACAAAUGCAUUUUUGCAGACAUUAUAAUCUGGACCCUUAAGAACUUACACUAUCAUGGACUGUUUUAGGUAAAGGGAAACAAAGUUGUUUUCCUGGCAUUAUAGCUCCCUAUAGUGCCUCCCUCCCCCAUGUGGUGCAGAAAGGGUUAAAAAUCCCUUCUGUUACUUAGCUGAUUUCAACGCCGAUGUGCCUCGGCGCUGGUUCAGGCUCUGCUUCUUGCUCUCAUUAGGACUUCCCCAUAGGAAAGCAUUGUAUAAUGCUUUCCUAUGGGGUUUUAGGUGAUGCUGGAUGUUCUCAUGCAUAGUGUGAGGACAUCCAGCGCCAGGCGACCAAAAGUUGCCUAACCACCCAGAAGUGCCUCUAGUGGGUGUAUGGUAGACAGCCACUAGAGGCUGAAGUUAACACUGCAAGGCAAUUAUUGCAUUUUAUCAAAAGCUGCAAUAAUUACCACUGCAGGAUGGAAGCAGCAGGAUUUGGCGAUUGAUUGGGCAUGAGGGGUGACGGAGAGGUCGGAGUCAAAGAGAACAUCUAGGCAGCGAGUCUUAGAGGUAGAGCAGAUGGUAGCGCCAUUGACUUGGAGGGACACAGACAAGAGAAUAGCAACACUUGAGGGAGGGAAGACCAGAAGUUCUGUUUUGGACAGGUUCAGUUAAAGGAAAUGAGCAGCCAUCCAGUUGGAAAUAGCAGAGAGGCAGUCAGAGACACAAGUCAAGAGCGGUGGUGAGAAAUCAAGGGAGAACAGAUAAAUUUGC